rnacentral:rRNA from 1 species
GGCCUUUUGAUAUUAAUUUAAGGUCUAGCCUGCCCACUGAGGAGUUUAAAGGCCGCGGUAUUUUGACCGUGCUAAGGUAGCAUAAUCAUUAGUUUUUUAAAUGAAAGCUGGAAUGAAAGGUUGGAUAAGAAAAUAACUGUUUCUAUUGAAAUUUUAAUGAAUUUUAUUUUUAAAUUAAAAAGUUUAAAUAGUUUUAAAAGACGAGAAGACCCUAUAGAGUUUUAUAAAUUUUGGAUUUUAAUUUUUUAGGAUUAUUAUGUUGAAGUUUAAAGUUUAUUUGGUUGGGGUGAUUGGAAAAUUAAAUAAACUUUUAUUAUAAAAAUAACAUUAAUUUAUGAUAUAUUGAUCCAUAUUUAGUGAUUAUAAGAUUAAAUUACCUUAGGGAUAACAGCGUUAUUUUUUCUGAGAGUUCAAAUCGAAGAAAAAGUUUGCGACCUCGAUGUUGGAUUAAAAUUUAUUUUUGGUGCAGAAGUUAAAAUAUUGGGUCUGUUCGACCUUUGAAAUUUUACAUGA